UACGGAGGGAGCUAGCGUUAUUCGGAAUUACUGGGCGUAAAGCGCACGUAGGCGGCUUUGUACGUUAGAGGUGAAAGCCUGGAGCUCAACUCCAGAAUUGCCUUUAAGACUGCAUCGCUCGAGUCCGGGAGAGGUGAGUGGAAUUCCGAGUGUAGAGGUGAAAUGCGUAGAUAUUCGGAAGAACACCAGUGGCGAAGGCGGCUCACUGGGCCGGCACUGACGCUGAGGUGCGAAAGCGUGGGGAGCAAACAGG
rnacentral:rRNA from 1 species